rnacentral:tRNA from 1 species
GGGGUUGUGGCUCAGCGGUAGAGCGCUCGCCUAGCAUGCGGGAGGCCCUGGGUUGGAUCCUCAACACCACA